GGACUACGAGUGAGACUCCGCCCUCUUCGCCCUGAGUGACACCAGCGUGGAGGUCCGGUAGCUGAAUCCACCCGGCUGUUACCCGAAUUCCUCACCUUGGUUCCGGUCUCUAGGUGUACUUUAAUCCAGUUUUUUUCCAGACCUUUACGCCCAGACUCUGGUGUCUGCCUGCAGAACAUAACAGAGGGGACACAAGUGUGCGCAGUUGGCUCUAAGCAAUGUAAACUGGGCUGGCUGAGGUGUUGACGGGUAAUCUUUGAAGCCAAGUGACAGCUGUGUUUCCUCAGCGGGAUGGCAGAGCCAGCUCCAGGGCCAUCAGCUGGAUUCAAGUCUCAAGGUAAGAGGCUGUGACUUCCCAGGACAAAUCAGGACCGAGGCACUGGCCUGCUAAAUGUUGAGUACCACCUCAGUUGUGUUUUGCAGGGGGGUCUUCCUGCAUACCUUCUGUCUGCAUAUCCCAGAGCUCUUUUCUGGCCUCCCGGCCGGCUCAACUAGUGUUACAUUAAUUCCCGCCAUUCUCACCGUCACGCAUCCUUCAGCCCCUGAUUCUUCGGGAAUUAAUAAAUUCUAGGCUAGGCCCUGGGUCCAGGCCUUCGUCCCGUGAAUCCCCAUCUGGGAUGAGGACCCCGUGGCUGGCCGUAACUGUCCAGGUGUCUCAGUGUCUUCAUUCUCAUGGCAGGGUGCAGUGGAGGUGGCAGGCUGAAAUUAACUCUCCACAGUUCUAAUAAUGUUUCCAUCCAAUAACAAAUACAUAGCUGGCUUUGAACUCACUUUGUAGCCCAGGCUGGCCUCAAACUUGUAGUGAUCCUCCUGCCUCAGCCUCCCGAGUGCCGACCACCAGUGCUCUCUUGAACAAGUGUAUUGGCAUUGGCUUAGCUGCGGUGUGGCUCUGAUUUUCCUUCAAAAUAAAAAACUCACACACUCCUGG